GAGAGAGAGAGAGAGAGAGAGAGAGCUAAGCCACCGCCAGCCAGCAGCCAGCCAGCCAGUUUGUGCCUGACUGGUACCUCGCUCGGUAACAGCUCUCGCGCUCCCUGCUCCUGUGCACUCGAGCCCUUGGGUAGCGCCGAGGCUUGGGCUGCCGUGAGGGGGCCUGCCGUGUCCCUACGUCCCUGUGUCCCUUCUUGCCUCACACUGUCCCCUUCCCCGCGUCCGUUGCCUUGCCGCUGCUUGGUGAUGUAACAAAAAGUGCAGUUUGGUGAAGAGUGAUAAGGAGGAGGAGGAGGAGGAGGAGGCCAGCACGGGGCGGGCCACGAGGCGCGUUGUGUGUGUGUGCACGAGUGUGUGUCUGUGUGUAUGUGUGCGGUGAUAACAGUGAUACGUGAUACGCUAUCUGGAGCCUUAUCCACCGUCCAUGGGGCUCAAGAGUUCCCGGAGUGGAGACAGGAGUGGAGUGUGUGCACUUUUAUGAUUUUCACUCCUUUCUCUUGUUCCUCGUGUGUUUCACCCGCUUAUUUCCCUCUUUCCCACCCUGCCUUUCUUCCCUCCCUCCCAUCCGUCGUCCCGGUCACCUGAAACAGUCCACCUGUGAUAGAUCGUGUGGAGACUUAAUGCCUGUCGCUUUUGUGGACGCCAUCUCUCGCUAGCAUACCUGUGUGCUGUGUCUUUCUUGCCCGCAACUCAUUAAGCCCAACACAGUCCGUGAGGAAAGACGAGGAAAACAAGACUUUCAACACCUCCAACAAUUCAGCACCACAACACCUGGCAGGCAGGGAGUGUUUAACUACUGCUGCGGCUCCCGGAGCGACACCUGGGGCAGUAAGGGCGAUGCAACGAACAAACACACACACACACACACACGGACAGCUGUGCGUGUGUGCGUGCGUGUGCGUGUGUGUACGGACUUAUGUAGACACACCCAUCCAUUCAGAAACGUAUUUGUGAGUAGAAAGGCAAGUAGAGAGAGAGAGAGAGAG